UACGGGGGGGGCAAGCGUUGUUCGGAAUUACUGGGCGUAAAGGGCUCGUAGGCGGCCAACUAAGUCGGAUGUGAAAUCCCCAGGCUUAACCUGGGAAUUGCAUCCGAUACUGGAUGGCUUGAAUCCGGGAGAGGGAUGCGGAAUUCCAGGUGUAGCGGUGAAAUGCGUAGAUAUCUGGAGGAACACCGGUGGCGAAGGCGGCUCACUGGCCCGGUACUGACGCUGAGGUGCGAAAGCGUGGGGAGCAAACAGG
rnacentral:rRNA from 1 species